rnacentral:lncRNA from 1 species
UGCUGGAGGAGGAAUGAUUAUCCUCAUUACUCUUGUUGGGAUCCACUGCUUUUGCCAUGAUUAUCCCUGUGGCUGCAUCUCGGGGCAUCUGUGGGCUUGUUGCCUUGUGGUAAACACAUGCAGACGGAGCUGAUGCAGAUGCAUUCAGCAGCGCAGGGCUCCUAUCUCCUGACCGGAUGUGGACAUGGUCUUCUCGGGAUGGCAGCCCUGCAGCCCUGAGCUGAGUCUGCCCUGUGGGUUUGCGGUCACCAGUGUCCCCGAGGCCCCUCAGGCCCGAGCUGCCCAAUGCAUCCAUGCUCUCUUUCAAACUUUCACAUUUCUGUUUAUUUCACUUAGCAUCUAUUUUGGAUUAUGUUCUAGGGUAGAAAUUUAAUAGUUUUCUAAUCGUUAUCCUUCUGUAUAAUCAGUCUUUCUGCAUUGGUUUGCAAGGACUCAGCCACUGCACACCCACACUGGUCUCUGGAGGGGCAGCCACGUUCUAUCGUGGUAACGUCCGCCCCGUGGCAGGGACUGCUGACUGUCCCUACGCUCUCCUCCUUCCUCUUGGUGAUGGAAGCUACCACCCGCCGAGUUGCAGAUGCCCACAUUUCCCGGACCCUGUGCAGCUCGCUGUGGCACAGAGACUGCAUGUGGGACAAUGGGAAUACUACCAAAGAGAGGCUGAGGAGUGAGGUGAGCCAGCCUCCAUCCCGUGGGAGAGAACCACAUGACGGGCCAGCCCCAUCCCGUGGGAGAGAACCACAUGACGGGCCAGCCCCAUCCCGUGGGAGAGAACCACAUGACGGGCCAGCCCAAUCCUGUGGGAGAGAACCACAUGACGGUGGAGCCACACGUCCACCAGAGCCUAAGCGUUGGGGCCCCGAGUGACCACACGGAACCACGCUGCCCCAGGCACAGGAGCACUCAACUCUGCAGCCUCACCAGAGGGAGACGGCGCUGCCUGCCCGAGCCGCUUCACACUCAGACCUUUUCACUACAGCAGAUUCAUCUACUCACAACAAAGGGGUUGUGAGUUCU